AGGGCUUUUAUGGUUUUAAAAACAGAAUUCUGUGAUGGGUGGAAGGGCCUGUGCAGUGUGUUGCAGGUGCUACCUUGGGGCUGUGGAAGAAGGGAUGUAGAAGUUGGGGUUAGGGGAGAGACAAUAAGAUGUGCCUGCUAGACAUGGGAACCUGGGAGGCAGUGGUGCUUUAAAUGCAGUGCUCUUACUGUGUAUGUUGUUGAAAUAAUUUAGGAUCCUUUUCUCUGCAUCUUGUGUAUGUAUCAUCCAACAGCAGGUGAGACUCGGGUAGAAUCAGGGUUGUUGUUUUUUUUUCCUGUGGUUGUGUUUCCCUGACAACUGUAAUUCUACAUUAAAGCAAACACUUUCUUCUUGACAUGAGUUGCUACUAGAAAGGUGCAUUUUAAAUCAUCUGAAAUACAAGAAUAAAUUUUCACCUGAGUCCUCAGCAGCUGGAGGCACAGUUCCUAGGUUCUUUUCAGUGCACUUUCCAAGUACAAUGAAUUGAAUGAUGUAAGUUGGUGGUGUCUCAUGUGUUAUUGUCCUGAAAACUGAACAAUGUCUCUCCUGUCACUGCUGUGCAGUUGCCUGAUCUCUGCUCUUCUCCAGGCACUCUUCAGAAGGCACAAUCAUUUUUCAUGCCUUCUAGUUGAAGUCUCUCCAUUUUUUGCCUUUUGUCAAUUUGUUUGGGCUUUGAAGCUGUUUUGUUGAAAACAGUCUUUGCUUGUCACAUUGUUCCACAUCUGUCCCACUACCAGGGUGAAGUACCUUUCCAACCAGUAGUGAUGGGAUGGGCUGCCACUCCACACCACCAAGAGUAGGAGAGGUGACUUGUGACAAGCUGUUCCCUACCUGAGGAAAUGCAGCUGCUCUGGACCAUGCUUGGAUUUCUCCUCUGCCUGCUCCUGCUGUGCUGUACAUGAGGUGCUUGAGCCAAGCAGCCAGCUUCACAGACAAGGUUGAAGCGUUUCAGACACCCAGAACUAAAGAUAAUGAGAUUAAGAGAGAAAAUACAGAAGAAUGGCAGCAGAGCACUCUCCUGGUGAAGCUCCUCAGGUAGUGCUGCCAGUGGGGCAAGCUCAGCUGGGAUCACGGCCAAGACCACAAUUUGCUUCGGGCUGGACUGAGGAAGAGGAGUACACAAGAGCACAGCUCUGACCUCAAGGAAGAGUGUGAAGAAGCACAGACACCAUCUGUACAGCUGGUAGUGGCAGGUGAUGAACACAGGUACUCGAGUUCUUCAUGGUGAGGAUCAGCGUGGUUUCCAUCUUCUUCAUGCUUCCAUGUCCUUAAGGUGCUCCCCAGCCUUUUCACUGUGGCACUGAGCCUUUUUCAGAUGCAAAGUAGCAGAAAGUAAAGCAGUUGUAGUCGUUGUCAACUCCUUAGAGCAGCUCUGAUGGCUCAGGGGUUUCUUUCAUUCCUGAAAGAAAACAAGAGGCUUGUUAGAAGAAAAUACACAAACUUAUCUCUGUGUAUAAAACAGAACUGCCUGGUGCACAAAGCAGACCUUGUUUCAUUACCUAUGUACUGCUCCCCAUCAGCAUGGCUGUUCAGUAGUGACCUGGCUGACAGCACAGAAACACAUAAAAAGGUCUUGGGAAGCUUGUAGUAAAGCUGAAAUUGGCACUUCCCAAACUUGACAGGUUUAUCUUGCAGGAGAGUAGUUUUGUUGUAGCUGAAACUUGCACUAGCCAUUGAUAGAGACCUUGGAAAGCUUAAAAUAUACACAGUUCUAAUGUAUUUAGUGAUACUGAUCUCUUCAAAUGCAGAGUACUCACCUUUUCUCAGUUUUUAUGCUGGAAAGUCUGACUGGUUUUUCAAGCAGACUAGGAGGGGAUCUUGCCUUUGUGUAAUUUCUCUUCUAAUAUUUAGUUCCUGGACAGUUGGCUGGGUUGCAAUGCAAGGCUGAGAGGUCAGAAAUAAAACCAGUUUGCCAGUGACCUCUGCCUUUUUAUUUUUUUAGCCACACUCCAGGCAUCAUGUCCUUUUAGAACAUGGCAGCUGGUUUUACCCUAUGUCUACUCAGGCUGCUCAGAGUUGUCUUCUUGGUCCUGUCCUCCCAGCUGCUCCUCACAAGGUUGUGCUGCUCUCCAUGCCCUGCAGGCAGCGUCAGCACCUGCCACUGAGCACAACAGGUGGGUGUGAACUGGCCCUCUUGCUCUUUCUCAGGCCUUUCCCUUGGGUUCAGACUUGGCAGCUUUACCUUGUGCUCUGUCACAGGAAUCACUUCUUUAUCCCUAUUUUCUAUUUUUACUGAAAUCAGGCCUUGCAAGUCACCACUCGUGUGUACUUCCCAGGCUGGGGAGUUUCGGGGACGCGGCCCUUAGCGUGUUUUACUAACAGUCUGGAGUCCUUAAGGCUGGUGACUCAGGAAUGCUGCCCACCCAAAACACUCCUUCACCUGAAAGCACAACAGGGAAAACUUCCUGCCCAGCACAGCCAGCCAUGCCCAGAGUGCCUGCUGCCAGGGCAGAGGCUGCUUGUUUUGUUCAAAGUAAUUAUGUGACAGCGAAAACAAUGAAAGGUUAUUGUACUCGUGCUCCACCCAACAAUUACUACUUGCAAUAGACAGUCGAGCUCCUUGGUCUGAAUCAGGCACUUUGCUUUUUGCAGCCAGUUAAUUUACUACAGUGGCUCAUCUCUCAGGUGCUAAUUCGGGCUCAUCCUUUCUUUGAAGUUAAAUGGAUCCUUAGAAAUGUCAGAGACUAAACAGUCAUUGUCCAGGUAAACUUACAUGUUUCCAUAUCUCUCCAGUCCUCUCGAUUACAAUAGUUUGUGAUUUAUUGACAGGUGAGGUAACCUUGUAGUCAUCAGACAGGAGGCCCAGGAUAGGAUACUGAUUCCUGUACCUGUAUUCAAGAGAGUCACAAACCUGUUACCUGAGACCUGUCUCCUCAUAUCCAGAUCACUAACCCUGAUUUCCCACCCAGGCCUUGCAGUCAUUCAUCCCCAAAGGUUUCACUAGGAACUAAAAGGUUACAAUCAUUUAGAUGUCACUUCCCCCCACAAGCCACCCCCUGACUGCUAAUGCAGUGCUGAGUGUUGAAUCCUCCCCGGAUAGGAAAACCUAUCCACUUGUUCCCCUGUCAGCUGAACAGGCCAUGUUAACACAUUUGCAUAACCUCAUUAAUAGAGGCUGUACAAAUCAGAAGGAUGUGUUGUUAGGAAAGGUGAAGAACUACAUUACUUCUUAGUGAUGAUUGCUGUUACACCAGGGGACUGACUGCCUGAUAACUUCUCAUGCUUCAAUCUGAAGAGUUCCUGAGAAAACCAAAAGUAAACAUUCAAAUUGAAUGAUGUUUUCUGAAGAUGAAGUCAGUAAAGUCACAACAAAAUAUUUGCAAAAAUUCCUCUCAAAGAGCAGUCAAAAAAAGUUUGUCCUUCCAAAAGACUGAGAGAAGAACAACAUUCAGUUAAAAAAAAAUCCUAACCCUGACUGCUGGUACAAGGCACUUCCUGCUGUGGUUCCACCUACACAGUAAGUGGAAACUUAAAUAUAAAAAUUCUUAGAAGAUAAGUUGUUUUAUUUUACCUCUUGCUGCUGUUUAAUACAGGCUUCUUUCUCCUCCAACAUGCAUGUCAGUUCAUGCAGCCGUACUUGCAGGUCACUGUUACUUCCUUCUCUCCUGGAUAUAUCUUGCUGGAAUUGGCUUAACUGAGACUGUAACAGAGGGUGUUAGAACAGUCAGGGGUUGGUGUGUCUUGAAGGGCACCUUUCAGUGCCCAUCUAGGACCCCAGAUGGGUUUUGGGGUCUUUCCUUCAUUAAUACCAUGCACAGUAAGACCCAGUGAGUUUCAAACAGGGAGGUGAGUGGCACAGUGCAGUCAGAGGUGCUAACUGGACUGAAUUCUACCCAGUGUCAACAGCCUAGUUUUAUAACUCAAAGGUAACACAACCCUGAACCAGUUGAAUUGGCUUCCAGGCUGGUAAAAUAAGACUGCAAGGAUUAAAGUGAGACAUUUCCUACUUACAGUUCUCCCUGGGAUUCCUGUUUUGUUUGGGUGUCUGUUGGCUAGUUUCAUGCUUUAUCAGGACACCCAAAACUUGUCUUUAGGAAAGGCUGCUAAUCUGAUCAGUCCCCAAUUUACCUAAGGAAUUACGGUGUUUAAAUCACAGUUUUACUACCUUAGUGUCUCUGUACAACGUAACUGCAGCACCAGAAGGUACCUACAAGUAUCUAAGGUGGAUCUUUCCUGACCCUCAGUGAAAAGCAGCUGUUCCCUGCCCUCACAGCUCAGCAAUGCCCUGGGCCACGUUCAACAGCUCACCCGGAGGCUGCGGAUCUCCCGAUCUUUGUCCUCCCUCAGGUUAUUGAUCAUCUCCACGUAACGGCUGGAGAGCUCAUCCGUGGUGGUCUGCAGGGUGGGAUUGGAGCAGCUCUGCAGAAAAUUAAGUAUUUAUGUUAAAACAAGAGCUUGGAUCACUAAUUUUCACACAUGAACAACAGCUGCUGAACACAGAACACGUCUGUCACCUGCAGCCUGAGGUUCUGGAUCUCCUGCUCCAGGGCCCGCUUGCAGUACUCCAGUUCCUUCAGCUGACAAUCCUUCUCCCCCUCGGUGAGCCGCAGGCACAGCAGCUCUUCCUCCAGGCAGCGGCACUUGGCAAUACUGUCCCUGAGCCCUUGCUGCAGAGACCAGAAGUGGGAUGAAUGCAGUGUUCCUUAAGGAAUAACAGGAUCACACACAUACACCAACAUAUUCCAGGCAGCAGUCACUCAGAACACAGGCUAUGGGCCAGUUUUGGGCUGACUGUAAUUACACCGAAAAUGUGUUUUUAGAUUUACCUGCUGCUGACGAUUAUUGUCUCUCAGAGAAGCCAACAUAGUUUCAUAUUCUUUUACUUGAGACUCUUUAAAAGCCAAAUCCUUCUUCAGUAAGACAUUGUCAGUUUCUAAUUUCUGUAAGACAAAAGGGUUUGUGGUCAAUAGCUGUAAACAUUUACAUAUUCAAAAUGCAACAUACUGAGUAAGUGAUGCUUUAGAACUUAGAAAAUCAUCUAUUUUCUUGAAAAAAAACUAGCCCAUCACUGUAGUGUCUGUGGCCUUGUGUUUUGUGGUAAGCACUGAGAUCUUGGACACUGCUCUUUCAACUCUCUCCUAGAAUGAGUUAUUUGGUUAUGAAACAGAAACCAACAAAAACACCCAAACUGAAACCACUUCACUGAACAGACUCCUUGCUCCACGCUGAAGAUGACCCUUCAAACUCGUUCUCAGCUCCCUACACUGCAUUUCACAAGUGUAUGCUGUGAAGUUUCCAGUGGGGCUGAGGGCUUGGGCUGCUGUGGGACGUGUUCCUGCUUUCCCAACAGCAACUCUCCACCUGUCUAGCAACAACUCUCCAUAUCCAGCUGUAUCAGUAGCUGUGGAGCUCCAGCUCCCAAACAGAGCUGCCCACACCCUGGAGAACCACUGGAGUUGCUAAAGCCACCAGCUGACCACAGCUUUCCCAUGAAGCAGGAGACACAGCUUUGUCAGGAGUGACUGGACCUGAGGGCUCCCCAUUCCUGGACAGUGCUGGUAAAGAGGCACUUGGGGUGUCCUCCUUGUCAGAGUUAAAAGCAGAAACAGCUCCAUGCAUUUACACCACUGCAGAGAUACCAGCACCAUACACACCAAUUCAGCCCUUUCCACCUAAUUUCAUUUGGCAGGGUCUUUUCUUCUUUUGAAAGUGUUUGGGUUUUUAGGCUUCAACAAACUGAACCCCUGAAAACCCCUGCUAGAAAGAAACCUGCCCUCACCCACAGGAUGAGUCUUGCAGGUCCUUCACCAGUAAAGCACCCGGGAUUCACAGCUGAAGUGUCUUUGUGCCAGACUUCCUGGUGGCAGGUAAAACCAGAGGCUGAGGCAAGAGGGGCAGAGCAGUGUGACUCACCCCCAGGUCAUCCUGCAGAUGGCAGAGCUCUUCCCGCAGGUUCCUGAACGUGGAGAGCACGAGUCUCAACGAUUUGUCUGAUGUCACUCUCAUCUAGGAAUGGGGAAGAAAAAAUAAAUUACAAAGCUGAUUAAUUGAUGUGCUUUGGUUACACUGUGCUUGACAGAGGGUAGAAUAGAAACCUGCUGUUGGAGCUCCUGCUGGGCCUGACACAUCUGCACUUUGCCAGUGGCUUCAGGUUUUACUUACUGUCUUGUAACACAGGACAAGAUUUUUUAAGUGGAAGGAACAAGAGAGGGAAGAACAGCAUUUGUACACUAAUAAAGGGAAAAAUUAAUUGUGUUAAUAUUGCACAGUCAUCUUUUGAGCAUUUAGAGCCUUGUGACUUACAUGGAUGUAAAGAAAUCACUGCCCUACCUGAGAAGCCACAGAGGAAUGAGUCCGAUCUGGCAGAGCAUGCUUUCAAGGGCAAGAGGAUUUAUUUAAAAAUUUUGAAAAAUUAAAAUAAAUUUUUAAAAGAUCCAUAACAACCAACUCCUCCCUUGAAAAGGAAAACAAGAUUCCAAACAUUACAGGAGGCAACUGGUUGCAAAAGAAAGGCAGCAAUGCUCGACAGCCCAACACUGUUCUUUUCAUGCAUGUGUAUUAAUUCACAUUAAAAUACAAAUUGGUUCAUUUCAUGAUACAUUACUAACAUUUGAAAGACUAAAAAUUUACCUUGAAAGAAAUCACAACAUUUUUCAAAUCUUUGACUCAUCUGGAAGGGCUGAAUAUUCUACACACAAUAGGUUUUGGUUUUUUUACACUCUGCACGAAAAUCAAGCCCCCUGUUUCUCUUCCUCUGAUACUGUCCCUUAUUUGUUGACCCUCUGAAUUGAAGAAAGCCACCAAGAUCUCCACUGAUAUGGUGAUUAACCCUUGUCCUAUUUUUUUAUCCUCACUGGUGCUAUUAUGCGACUCAGGCUUCAAAAAUAACAUUUCUCACCUGUUUGAUUUUUAAUUAAACUACAGUUUCAGUUUUUA